UUCCGGUUGAUCCUGCCGGACCCGACUGCUAUCAGAGUGGGAUUAAGCCAUGCGAGUCAACGUAGCAAUACGUGGCAUACGGCUCAGUAACACGUAGUCAACAUGCCCAGGGGACGUGGAUAACCUCGGGAAACUGAGAUUAAACCGCGAUAGGCCAAGAUUUCUGGAAUGGAUCAUGGCCUAAAUCUAUAUGGCCCUUGGAUUGGACUGCGACCGAUCAGGCUGUUGGUGAGGUAAUGGCCCACCAAACCUAUAACCGGUACGGGCUCUGAGAGGAGGAGCCCGGAGAUGGGUACUGAGACAAGGACCCAGGCCCUAUGGGGCGCAGCAGGCGCGAAACCUCUGCAAUAGGCGAAAGCCUGACAGGGUUACUCUGAGUGACUUUCGCUAAGAAAGUCUUUUGACAUCUGUAAAAAUGGUGUAGAAUAAGGGGUGGGCAAGUCUGGUGUCAGCCGCCGCGGUAAUACCAGCACCCCGAGUGGUCGGGACGAUUAUUGGGCCUAAAGCAUCCGUAGCCGGUUUUACAAGUCCUCCGUUAAAUCCAACUGCUUAACAGAUGGGCUGCGGAGGAUACUAUAAGACUAGGAGGCAGGAGAGGCAAGCGGUACUCAGUGGGUAGGGGUAAAAUCCGUUGAUCCAUUGAAGACCACCAGUGGCGAAGGCGGCUUGCCAGAAUGCGCUCGACGGUGAGGGAUGAAAGCUGGGGGAGCAAACCGGAUUAGAUACCCGGGUAGUCCCAGCUGUAAACGAUGCAGACUCGGUGAUGGACCAGCUUAAUGCUAGUCCAGUGCCGCAGGGAAGCCGUUAAGUCUGCCGCCUGGGUAGUACGGUCGCAAGGCUGAAACUUAAAGGAAUUGGCGGGGGAGCACCACAAGGGGUGAAGCCUGCGGUUCAAUUGGAUUCAACGCCGGG
rnacentral:rRNA from 1 species